UCCUGAGAGAUUGUCUUUUUGUGAGACGUCUAUCAGGGUCAGUCUAUUUAAACUUGAUUAAACUAAAAUAUGAUAUUAGGCUAACUAAACUAAAGACGGUCUCUCAAGAGAAUUUGUGUUUAUUUUUAGCCAUUAGCUAGCCCAUAUAUAAAUCUUAACGGGCCAAAAUAAACCCUAACCCACUACCCAAUCUACCCUUUCCUUUCAUUUCAUUCCUUCCAAAGUUCCACCAAAAAUCCAAAAUAAACCCUAAAACUCAUUCCUUCUUCUGAAUCAGAAACUUGGUGAGAGAAAGUGAGGAUGGCCAAAACUUAUUCAUCUUCUUCGUUGAAUUAGCAAUUAUUAUUUUCUUUCAACUUCAAGUUUCAAGUUCUUACUGGCCAACCUUGGGUCUUUCAUCAUUCUUCAAGACUUCUACUGUUUUUAGGGUUCAGUAAUGAAUACCAAGAUCCGUGUUAUAGUUAAAUCGUUUGGGCCUCCAUUGUCCGAAUGCUUUCCACCGCAUUCUCGAAAGAUUGCGCUGCCUGAAAAAAAGGUAAUAUAUACUGUGCUACGGUCACCUCAUGUUCACAAAAAAUCCCGAGAACAAUUUGAGACUAGGGUUCAGACACAUGUGCUGGACAUAGAGGCAAAAAGGAAUGAAUUGCACCACAAGCUGUUUUGGUUGAAACGCCAUAGUAUAAUUGGCUCUGAAUUUGAAAUCCAAGUGUUUUCAAAGACUCGCCUGGACCCAAAGCUUUUGCCUCUUCCGCAAAGAAAGCGUUGAUACUUAAUUUUCGAUCACCCCAUGUUCGGUGCUAGCUCUAUUCUGUUUGUUUUACCCUUGUUCAGAUACAAAUACUUGGUGAUCUGAAUCUUUGUUGUGAUGCUUUGCUCUUUGGCUCUUUGUUACACUUCAACAAAUAAUGUUGGCAUUCGUCUGAUGCUCGUGUCUUUGUGGAAGCAAUAAGCAAUAGUUUUACAGAGAGUUUUGUUGUAUCAGUUGGUUUGAUCCUUUAGCUAAAUUUAAAGUUUUGCCUACUUUUGGUUAACUAAUCGUCUUUCCUAAGAUGUUUUUAUAGAUCACCAGUAUACUUAAUUUGGCGUAUAUCUAUUGUCAGCUGGUAGAUAGUAGUAUAGUGAGUUAAUUUACAAUACACUGUAAAAAGAUCUCACAUAUUUGAAUCAUAUGUCCGAUUCUCAUGGGAACAAAGUGUAGUAGCUUGCAUGCCCUUCUUGGGUAAUUUAAGAAUGUAUAUUUAUAUUUUAGUACACUCCUAAUGAGUAUACUAAAUAAUCAAGGUAGCACAUAAUAUCAUUUGCCCACAA